GAAAUGCGAUAAGUAAUGUGAAUUGCAGAAUUCAGUGAAUCAUCGAAUCUUUGAACGCACAUUGCGCCCGCCAGCAUUCUGGCGGGCAUGCCUGUUCGAGCGUCAUUUCAACCCCUCGGGCCCCCGCGCCCGGCGUCGGGGCUCUCCCUCGCGGGAGGCCCCCAGAGAAAGUGGCGGACCCGCCGCGGCUCCGAGCGCAGUAGUAAAAUUCUCGCUUAGGGACCGCGGGGGGACCCCGGCCGUUAAACACCCCCAAUGUCUAAAAGGUUGACCUCGGAUCAGGUAGGAAUACCCGCUGAACUUAA
rnacentral:misc_RNA from 1 species